rnacentral:rRNA from 1 species
AUUAGUAUUAGUUAUGUUCUUGAAAAUUAAAAAAUUUGGCGGUAUUUUAGUCUAUUCAGAGGAACUUGUCCUGUAAUUGAUAAUCCACGAUUUAAAAUACUUUUUUUUAAAAUUUAUAUAUCGUCGUAAUUUGAAAAUUUUUUAAAAAUUAUUAAUUUUCAAGAUUUAUUAUUAUAAAUAAAAUCAGAUCAAGAUGUAGUUAAUAGGAAAGUAGAGAUGAGUUACAUUUAUUUAAAUAGAAGAUAAUUAUUAGUAUAAUAAUUUGAAUUUGGAUUUGAAGGUAAUUUUAAUUAAUUAAUUAAAAUGAUUUAAGCUCUAAAAUAUGUACACAUCGCCCG